rnacentral:rRNA from 1 species
AAAGUAGGGGAUCGCAAGACCUUGCGCUUUUGGAGUGGCCGAUGCCUGAUUAGCUAGUUGGUGGGGUAAGGGCCUACCAAGGCGACGAUCAGUAGUUGGUCUGAGAGGACGACCAGCCACACUGGGACUGAGACACGGCCCAGACUCCUACGGGAGGCAGCAGUGGGGAAUUUUGGACAAUGGGCGAAAGCCUGAUCCAGCAAUGCCGCGUGAGUGAAGAAGGCCUUCGGGUUGUAAAGCUCUUUCAGUCGAGAAGAAAAGGUCGCGACUAAUAAUCGCGACUCAUGACGGUAUCGACAGAAGAAGCACCGGCUAACUACGUGCCAGCAGCCGCGGUAAUACGUAGGGUGCGAGCGUUAAUCGGAAUUACUGGGCGUAAAGGGUGCGCAGGCGGCUUUGUAAGUCAGAUGUGAAAUCCCCGGGCUUAACCUGGGAAUUGCGUUUGAAACUACAAGGCUAGA